GGGCCGAUAGCUCAGAGCGAACGGCGAGCAGCUUGGCUAGAGCACUCGACUGAUAAUCGAGAGGUCAAGGGUUCGAAUCCCUUUCGGCCCA
rnacentral:tRNA from 1 species